rnacentral:rRNA from 1 species
UACGAAGGGGGCGAGCGUUGUUCGGGAUUUACUGGGCGUAAAGCGCACGUAGGCGGCUUCUUAAGUCAGGGGUGAAAUCCUGGAGCUCAACUCCAGAACUGCCUUUGAUACUGGCGAUCUCGAGUCCGGGAGAGGUGAGUGGAACUGCGAGUGUAGAGGUGAAAUUCGUAGAUAUUCGCAAGAACACCAGUGGCGAAGGCGGCUCACUGGCCCGGUACUGACGCUGAGGUGCGAAAGCGUGGGGAGCAACAGGG